rnacentral:rRNA from 1 species
UACGUAGGCAGCGAGCGUUGCUCGGAAUCACUGGGCGUAAAGGGUGCGUAGGCGGCUUUGUAAGUUAGAGGUGAAAGCCCGGGGCUCAACUCCGGAACUGCCUUUAAGACUGCAUCGCUAGAAUUGUGGAGAGGUGGGUGGAAUUCCGAGUGUAGAGGUGAAAUUCGUAGAUAUUCGGAAGAACACCAGUGGCGAAGGCGACUCACUGGACACAUAUUGACGCUGAGGUGCGAAAGCGUGGGGAGCAAACAGG